AGUCGUAACAAGGUCUCCGUAGGUGAACCUGCGGAGGGAUCAUUACACAAAUAUGAAGGCGGGCUGGAACCUCUCGGGGUUACAGCCUUGCUGAAUUAUUCACCCUUGUCUUUUGCGUACUUCUUGUUUCCUUGGUGGGUUCGCCCACCACUAGGACAAACAUAAACCUUUUGUAAUUGCAAUCAGCGUCAGUAACAAAUUAAUAAUUACAACUUUCAACAACGGAUCUCUUGGUUCUGGCAUCGAUGAAGAACGCAGCGAAAUGCGAUAAGUAGUGUGAAUUGCAGAAUUCAGUGAAUCAUCGAAUCUUUGAACGCAUAUUGCGCCCUUUGGUAUUCCAAAGGGCAUGCCUGUUCGAGCGUCAUUUGUACCCUCAAGCUUUGCUUGGUGUUGGGCGUCUUGUCUCUAGCUUUGCUGGAGACUCGCCUUAAAGUAAUUGGCAGCCGGCCUACUGGUUUCGGAGCGCAGCACAAGUCGCACUCUCUAUCAGCAAAGGUCUAGCAUCCAUUAAGCCUUUUUUUUCAACUUUUGACCUCGGAUCAGGUAGGGAUACCCGCUGAACUUAAGCAUAUCAAUUAAAAGUCG
rnacentral:rRNA from 1 species